GGGUUUUAAGUAGCAUCUUUUGAAAAGGCUUUCUAGUUAGCCUCUUCAGUGGUCUUGUGUAUCCAGGCUAGUUCUGCUCACAUAGCAUAACUAUCUGAGGAUAGCUGUGCUCUUAACUUUGGUGGG